rnacentral:rRNA from 1 species
CACCGCGGUUAUACGAGAGGCCCAAGCUGAUAGUUACCGGCGUAAAGAGUGGUUAAUGGACCCCUGAAAACUAAAGCCGAACAUCUCCAAAGUUGUACAACGCACUCGAAGACCUGAAGAUCACUUACGAAAGUAGCUUUACACCACUUGAACCCACGAAAGCUAGGAAA